GUAAUCAAAUCUCAAGACUAGACUUAGCUAUGGCCAGGCCAUGGUAAGUAUCACAGUAUGUCUAGUCUUUAGGUUUGAUUAC
ensembl:miRNA